rnacentral:rRNA from 1 species
GAUGAACGCUGGCGGCGUGCCUAAUACAUGCAAGUCGAGCGAACGGACGAGAAGCUUGCUUCUCUGAUGUUAGCGGCGGACGGGUGAGUAACACGUGGAUAACCUACCUAUAAGACUGGGAUAACUUCUGGAAACCGGAGCUAAUACCGGAUAAUAUUUUGAACCGCAUGGUUCAAAAGUUAAAGACGGUCUUGCUGUCACUUAUAGAUGGAUCCGCGCUGCAUUAGCUAGUUGGUAAGGUAACGGCUUACCAAGGCAACGAUGCAUAGCCGACCUGAGAGGGUGAUCGGCCACACUGGAACUGAGACACGGUCCAGACUCAUACGGGAGGCAGCAGUAGGGAAUCUUCAGCAAUGGGAGAAAGCCUGACGGAGCAACGCCGCGUGAGUGAUGAAGGUCUUCGGAUCGUAAAACUCUGUUAUUAGGGAAGAACAUAUGUGUAAGUAACUGUGCACAUCUUGACGGUACCUAAUCAGAAAGCCACGGCUAACUACGUG